GACGAACGCUGGCGGCGUGCCUAAUACAUGCAAGUAGGACGCAGUUGCGAACAGGUGAGUAACGCGUAGGUAACUACCUAUUAGAGGGGGAUAACUAUUGGCAACGAUAGCUAAUACCGCAUACUAGUAGAUGGACCUGCGUUGUAUUAGCUAGUAGGUAGGGUAAUGGCCUACCUAGGCAACGAUACAUAGCCGACCUGGAAGGGGGCGAGGCGAAACCGGGACGGGGACACGGCCCAGACUCCUACGGGAGGCAGCAGUAGGGAAUCUUCGGCAAGGGGGGGAACCCUGACCGAGCAACGCCGCAGUAGUGAAGAAGGUGUUCGGAUCGUAAAGCUCUGUUGUUAAUGACGCGGUACUUAACCAGAAAGGGACGGCUAACUACGUGCCAGCAGCCGCGGUAAUUC
rnacentral:rRNA from 1 species